AUUGAACGCUGGCGGCAUGCUUUACACAUGCAAGUCGAACGGCAGCGCGGGCUUCGGCCUGGCGGCGAGUGGCGAACGGGUGAGUAAUGCAUCGGAACGUGCCCUGCAGUGGGGGAUAGCCCGGCGAAAGCCGGAUUAAUACCGCAUCCGACCUGAGGGUGAAAGCGGGGGUCCGAAAGGCCUCGCGCUAUUGGCUCUGCCGUUGUCGGAUUAGCUAGUUGGUGGGGUAAAGGCUUACCAAGGCGACGAUCCGUAGCUGAUCUGAGAGGACGACCAGCCACACUGGGACUGAGACACGGCCCAGACUCCUACGGGAGGCAGCAGUGGGGAAUUUUGGACAAUGGGGGCAAGCCUGAUCCAGCCAUGCCGCGUGCGGGAAGAAGGCCUUCGGGUUGUAAAACGCUUUUGUUCAGGAAGAAAACCUCUGGGCUAAUACCCCGGGGGGAUGACGGUACCGGAAGAAUAAGCACCGGCUAACUACGUG
rnacentral:rRNA from 1 species